rnacentral:rRNA from 1 species
GAUGAACGCUGGCGGCGUGCCUAAUACAUGCAAGUCGAGCGAGCAGACGAGGAGCUUGCUCCUCUGACGUUAGCGGCGGACGGGUGAGUAACACGUGGAUAACCUACCUAUAAGACUGGGAUAACUUCGGGAAACCGGAGCCAAUACCGGAUAAUAUAUUGAACCGCAUGGUUCAAUAGUGAAAGACGGUUUUGCUGUCACUUAUAGAUGGAUCCGCGCCGCAUUAGCUAGUUGGUAAGGUAACGGCUUACCAAGGCAACGAUGCGUAGCCGACCUGAGAGGGUGAUCGGCCACACUGGAACUGGGACACGGUCCAGACUCCUACGGGAGGCAGCAGUAGGGAAUCUUCCGCAAUGGGCGAAAGCUUGACGGAGCAACGCCGCGUGAGUGAUGAAGGUCUUCGGAUCGUAAAACUCUGUUAUUAGGGAAGAACAAAUGUGUAAGUAACUAUGCACGUCUUGACGGUACCUAAUCAGAAAGCCACGGCUAACUACGUG